rnacentral:lncRNA from 1 species
AUGGAUGCGUGGGUUAAAACGAAGUUGAUUGAGAAUAUUACAAAAAACCAUGAUAUAAAAAACAUAAACUUAUAUAUAACAAAUAUUGAUCAACAUAUUGCAAAAAUAAAAAAUGAAGGUGGAAGUAUUAUAGAUGAAGUAUUUUUAGCAUUUAAUGGAUCUAUUAGUCAUAUUUCUCUUUACGCUUAUUUAUAUGAUCAUAAUGUUAAUGUAGAUUUAAAUUGUUUGAAUUUCAUCAAUGAACAUAGUUAUAUAGAAGAAGAAAAGUUAAUACAAGAAAAUGAAAAAGAUGGAGGAGGUGAUAAAGUUGUAGAUAUUACAAAAUUUGAUUCAGACCUUAUAUUUUAUAUUGUAAAAGAAUAUAAAGAUAAUUUUGAGGAUAAUUAUAAUUUAACUAUUGAAGAUUUAGAAAAUAUUAUAUCAAAAUAUAAAGAAAAAGAAUAUCAAGAAUCAAUUAAAUUAUAUAAAGAAAAAUAUAAAGAUGGUGUAAAAGUAUAUAACACUUUUUUAGAUAUAAGUCAUUUUUUUUAUGAUGAAAAAAAAAUGAAAUUAAUAAAAAAACAAAAAAACGAAUCCAUCGAAAAUUAUAAUGAAUAUAUAAAUUCAAAUGUAGAUGUUGAAUUUUAUGAUUUAAAAUAUAAUUUACAAUGUAAAAAAACUAAAGGACAUCCAUCCGUUUUGUUUUGGUCAGAUGCUAUUAAUGAAAUACAAAUUAAAGAUAAAACGAUUAUCACUUCUGUUGAUGCAAUUAAAUUAACAAACCCUGGUCAUCAACAUAUCAUAGGAAUAUUGGGAUUAAAUAGGGAUGGUGAUUUAGUAAUACAAGGAAUAAGAAAUGAAAUUAUUUUGUUUAUUUAUGAAAAUUGUGUUAUUAAUUAUGGAAUAUAUUGUAUCGGUCAUGUAAUACUAGUACAAGGUCGGAUGAAAUUGGCUAAUAAAACUUUUUAUGCCUCAGAAAUAAUGCACCCUCCAAGGUUAUUUUAUUAUGCGUGUUUAUGUUUGCACCUGAACUUGCACCUGAGUUUGUACCUGAGCUUGUUCCUGAGUUUGUGUUUGAGUUUGUUCCUGAGUUUGUGUUUGAGCUUACAUAUAUGUGUGUCCGUGUCCGUGUUCGUUUUUGCGUAUUUGCUUAUCCCCGUUUACUUGUCCGUAUGUGUGUAA